rnacentral:RNase_P_RNA from 1 species
AGAGAGGGACGGGUGAUCGCGGGAUUUUUUCCCGAGGAAAGUCCGGACUCCAAGGGCGGGGUGCUGGGUAACACCCAGAAGGAGUGAUCCUUGGAUAGUGCCAUAGAAAAGGAAACCGCCCUCUCCAGGGCAAGGGUGGAAAGGUGAGGUAAGAGCUCACCAGCAUUGGGGUAACCCAAUGGCUUGGUAAACCCCACCCGGAGCAAGGCCAAGCAGGGGUGAGUGGUCCCGCUCUAUCCCCCGGGUAGGCCGCUUGAGAAGGGCGGAAACGCUCUUUCUCAGAUAGAUGAUCACCCUCGACAGAAUCCGGCUUACAGUCCCUCUCUGUCU